rnacentral:rRNA from 1 species
GACGAACGCUGGCGGCGUGCUUAACACAUGCAAGUCGAACGGAAAGGCCCUGCUUUUGUGGGGUGCUCGAGUGGCGAACGGGUGAGUAACACGUGAGUAACCUGCCCUUGACUUUGGGAUAACUUCAGGAAACUGGGGCUAAUACCGGAUAGGAGCUCCUGCUGCAUGGUGGGGGUUGGAAAGUUUCGGCGGUUGGGGAUGGACUCGCGGCUUAUCAGCUUGUUGGUGGGGUAGUGGCUUACCAAGGCUUUGACGGGUAGCCGGCAUGAGAGGGUGACCGGCCACAUUGGGACUGAGAUACGGCCCAGACUCCUACGGGAGGCAGCAGUGGGGAAUAUUGCCCAAUGGGCGGAAGCCUGAUGCAGCAACGCCGCGUGCGGGAUGACGGCCUUCGGGUUGUAAACCGCUUUCGCCUGUGACGAAGCGUGAGUGACGGUAAUGGGUAAAGAAGCACCGGCUAACUACGUG